rnacentral:tRNA from 1 species
UAAGAGUAGGAAAUUUUAUUUACAUUAAAAUAUGCCUAUUAAGUUUUAUGAUAGGACUCUUAA